rnacentral:rRNA from 1 species
AUGAUGNAUAUUAAUUUGUAUUACAUAAUAGAAAUUUGAGUUUUUUGGCUCUGGGGAUAGUAUGAUCGCAAGAUUGAAAAUUAAAGAAAUUGACGGAAGAAUACCACAAGGAGUGGAUUGUGCGGCUUAAUUUGACUCAACGCGAGGUAACUUACCAAUAUUUUAUUAUUUUGAGAGAACGGUUUUUUGUUUGAG